AGGAUGAACGCUGGCGGCGUGCCUAAUACAUGCAAGUCGAGCGCCCUAUACAGUGUGCUUCUUGCCUUCGAUAUAAGUCGAAGGAGUUAAGAAGCCCAAUGUAUAGGGAGCGGCGGACGGCUGAGUAACGCGUAGGAACGUACCCCAAACUGAGGAAUAAGCUCCGGAAACGGAGUCUAAUACCGCAUAAUACCCCCGGGUUAAAGCUUCGGCGGUUUGGGAGCGGCCUGCGUAUGAUUAGCUUGUUGGUGAGGUAAAAGCUCACCAAGGCGAUGAUCAUUAGCUGGUCUGAGAGGAUGACCAGCCAGACUGGAACUGAGAUACGGUCCAGACUCCUACGGGAGGCAGCAGUAGGGAAUUUUCCACAAUGGACGAAAGUCUGAUGGAGCAACGCCGCGUGCAGGAGGAAGGCCCUCGGGUCGUAAACUGCUUUUAUUGUGACGAUUUGACGGUAGCAAAUGAAUAAGGACCUGCUAACUACGUGCCAGCAGCCG
rnacentral:rRNA from 1 species